rnacentral:rRNA from 1 species
AGCGAACGCUGGCGGCAUGCCUAACACAUGCAAGUCGAACGAACUCGUCGGAGUUUGUGUCGUACGGGUGAGUAACCCGUGGGAACAUUCCUUCGUGUUUGGACUAACUCAUGGAAGCGUGUGAUAAUACGGAAUGUGCGCUUCGGGGGCAUGAUUUAUGGCCAUUAGAGCGGGCUGCGUCUGAUUAGCUAGUUGGUGACGUAACGGCUCACCGAGGCUGAGUUCAGUAGCUGGUCUGGGAGGAUGACCCGGACCCCUGGGACUGAGACACGGCCCAGACUCCUACGGGAGGCAGCAGUGGUGAAUCUUGCGCGACGGGCGAAAGAAUGACGCAGCCAUGCCGCGUGAAUGAUGAAGGUCUUAGGAUCGUAAAAUUCUUUCACCGGGGACGAUAAUGACGGUACCCGACGAAGAAGCCCCGGCUAACUACGUG